UACGGAGGGUGCAAGCGUUAGUCGGAAUUAUUGGGCGUAAAGGGUGCGUAGGCGGGGAUGUAAGUCAGACGUGAAAUUCCGAGGCUCAACCUCGGAGCGGCAUCUGAAACUGCGCUUCUAGCGGAAUGGCGGAGAAAACGGAAUUCCACGUGUAGCGGUGAAAUGCGUAGAUAUGUGGAAGAACACCUGUGGCGAAAGCGGUUUUCUAGCCCACUCCAGACGCUGAGGCACGAAAGCAAGGGGAUCAAACAGG
rnacentral:rRNA from 1 species